rfam:Natronomonas pharaonis DSM 2160 complete genome
CCUGUCGACACAGGCUGGAAUGUGACCGGCUCCGCCGGUUGAACCACGAA